rnacentral:rRNA from 1 species
AGCCUUCUGAAAGGAAGAUUAAUACAAGAUGGCAUCAUGAGUCCGCAUGUUCACAUGAUUAAAGGUAUUCCGGUAGACGAUGGGGAUGCGUUCCAUUAGAUAGUAGGCGGGGUAACGGCCCACCUAGUCUUCGAUGGAUAGGGGUUCUGAGAGGAAGGUCCCCCACAUUGGAACUGAGACACGGUCCAAACUCCUACGGGAGGCAGCAGUGAGGAAUAUUGGUCAAUGGGCGAGAGCCUGAACCAGCCAAGUAGCGUGAAGGAUGACUGCCCUAUGGGUUGUAAACUUCUUUUAUAAAGGAAUAAAGUCGGGUAUGGAUACCCGUUUGCAUGUACUUUAUGAAUAAGGAUCGGCUAACUCCGUGCCAGCAGCCGCGGUAAUACGGAGGAUCCGAGCGUUAUCCGGAUUUAUUGGGUUUAAAGGGAGCGUAGAUGGAUGUUUAAGUCAGUUGUGAAAGUUUGCGGCUCAACCGUAAAAUUGCAGUUGAUACUGGAUAUCUUGAGUGCAGUUGAGGCAGGCGGAAUUCGUGGUGUAGCGGUGAAAUGCUUAGAUAUCACGAAGAACUCCGAUUGCGAAGGCAGCCUGCUAAGCUGCAACUGACAUUGAGGCUCGAAAGUGUGGGUAUCAAACAGGAUUAGAUACCCUGGUAGUCCACACGGUAAACGAUGAAUACUCGCUGUUUGCGAUAUACKGCAAGCGGCCAAGCGAAAGCGUUAAGUAUUCCACCUGGGGAGUACGCCGGCAACGGUGAAACUCAAAGGAAUUGACGGGGGCCCGCACAAGCGGAGGAACAUGUGGUUUAAUUCGAUGAUACGCGAGGAACCUUACCCGGGCUUAAAUUGCAGAUGAAUUACGGUGAAAGCCGUAAGCCGCAAGGCAUCUGUGAAGGUGCUGCAUGGUUGUCGUCAGCUCGUGCCGUGAGGUGUCGGCUUAAGUGCCAUAACGAGCGCAACCCUUGUUGUCAGUUACUAACAGGUUCUGCUGAGGACUCUGACAAGACUGCCAUCGUAAGAUGUGAGGAAGGUGGGGAUGACGUCAAAUCAGCACGGCCCUUACGUCCGGGGCUACACACGUG